rnacentral:rRNA from 1 species
UGGGGAAUAUUGGACAAUGGACCAAAAGUCUGAUCCAGCAAUUCUGUGUGCACGAUGAAGGUCUUCGGAUUGUAAAGUGCUUUCAGGUGGGAAGAAGAAAGUGACGGUACCACCAGAAGAAGCGACGGCUAAAUACGUGCCAGCAGCCGCGGUAAUACGUAUGUCGCAAGCGUUAUCCGGAAUUAUUGGGCGUAAAGCGAGUCUAGGCGGCUUGUUAAGUCAGAUGUGAAAAUGCGGGGCUCAACUCCGUAUUGCGUUUGAAACUGGCAGGCUAGAGUACUGGAGAGGUGGGCGGAACUACAAGUGUAGAGGUGAAAUUCGUAGAUAUUUGUAGGAAUGCCGAUAGUGAAGACAGCUCACUGGACAGAUACUGACGCUAAAGCUCGAAAGCGUGGGGAGCGAACAGG